rnacentral:rRNA from 1 species
AUUGAACGCUGGCGGCAGGCCUAACACAUGCAAGUCGAGCGGUAGAGAGGAGCUUGCUUCUCUUGAGAGCGGCGGACGGGUGAGUAAUGCCUAGGAAUCCGCCUGAUAGUGGGGGAUAACGUCCGGAAACGGACGCUAAUACCGCAUACGUCCUACGGGAGAAAGUGGGGGCUCUUCGGGCCUCACGCUAUCAGAUGAGCCUAGGUCGGAUUAGCUAGUUGGUGGGGUAAAGGCUCACCAAGGCGACGAUCCGUAACUGGUCUGAGAGGAUGAUCAGUCACACUGGAACUGAGACACGGUCCAGACUCCUACGGGAGGCAGCAGUGGGGAAUAUUGGACAAUGGGCGAAAGCCUGAUCCAGCCAUGCCGCGUGUGUGAAGAAGGUCUUCGGAUUGUAAAGCACUUUAAGUUGGGAGGAAGGGUCGUUACCUAAUACGUGACGAUUUUGACGUUACCGACAGAAUAAGCACCGGCUAACUCUGUGCCAGCAGCCGCAGUAA